GUACACGCUGUGACUAGCAUAUCAAUAAGCGGAGGAAAAGAAACUAACAAGGAUUCCCCUAGUAACGGCGAGUGAAGCGGGAAGAGCUCAAAUUUGAAAUCUUAAAGGGUUUCCCUUUACGAAUUGUAGUUUAAAGAAGUGUUUUCUGUUGAGGUUUUGGUAAAAGUUCUUUGGAAUAGGGACAUCAUAGAGGGUGAGAAUCCCGUAUUUGACCUUUACUUUCAACUUUGUGAUACACUUUCAAAGAGUCGGAUUGUUUGGGAAUGCAGUCCAAAAUGGGUGGUAAAUUUCAUCUAAAGCUAAAUAUUGGCGAGAGACCGAUAGCGAACAAGUACCGUGAGGGAAAGAUGAAAAGAACUUUGAAAAGAGAGUUAAACAGUACGUGAAAUUGUCAAAAGGGAAGCGUUUGACACCAGUGUUGUUUUUCUGAAAAUCAAUUAAAGAACUGUUUAUGCUAAGUUGUUUAGACUUUAUCAGCUAACUGUUUAGUUUUGAGCUUUUCUUUAAUGCACUUUUCAGUUAACAAGUCAACAUCAAUUUCUUUUGCUGUAAAAAAGCUUGAGGAAGGUGGCUUGAGAUUCGUCUUAAGUGUUUAUAGCCUCUUGCCUAUGCAGUCGGAGGGAUUGAGGUCUGCAGCGUAGAUCCUUCGGGGCUAAAUGCAUUUGCGCUAAGUUAUAGCAUUUUAUAGACAACUUGUUGACUAUGAUUUGUCUUGUAGCUUACUCGCUUAUGUUAUUUUACCUACGCUUAGGAUGUUGAGUCGUAGAGCACGCAG
rnacentral:rRNA from 1 species